GCUUACUUUGGCUAUACCUCUAUUAAAAUUGGAAUGAUCUAGAGACUAGCAUUGCCUCUGCAGAAGGAUGAGAAACACAUGAGGGAAGUGCUUCCCUGUGUU